rnacentral:rRNA from 1 species
GAUGAACGCUGGCGGCGUGCCUAAUACAUGCGAGUCGAGCGAACGGACGAGAAGCUUGCUUCUCUGAUGUUAGCGGCGGACGGGUGAGUAACACGUGGAUAACCUACCUAUAAGACUGGGAUAACUUCGGGAAACCGGAGCUAAUACCGGAUAAUAUUUUGAACCGCAUGGUUCAAAAGUGAAAGACGGUCUUGCUGUCACUUAUAGAUGGAUCCGCGCUGCAUUAGCUAGUUGGUAAGGUAACGGCUUACCAAGGCAACGAUGCAUAGCCGACCUGAGAGGGUGAUCGGCCACACUGGAACUGAGACACGGUCCAGACUCCUACGGGGGGCAGCAGUAGGGAAUCUUCCGCAAUGGGCGAAAGCCUGACGGAGCAACGCCGCGUGAGUGAUGAAGGUCUUCGGAUCGUAAAACUCUGUUAUUAGGGAAGAACAUAUGUGUAAGUAACUGUGCACAUCUUGACGGUACCUAAUCAGAAAGCCACGGCUAACUACGUGCCAGCAGCCGCGGUAAUACGUAGGUGGCAAGCGUUAUCCGGAAUUAUUGGGCGUAAAGCGCGCGUAGGCGGUUUUUUAAGUCUGAUGUGAAAGCCCACGGCUCAACCGUGGAGGGUCAUUGGAAACUGGAAAACUUGAGUGCAGAAGAGGAAAGUGGAAUUCCAUGUGUAGCGGUGAAAUGCGCAGAGAUAUGGAGGAACACCAGUGGCGAAGGCGACUUUCUGGUCUGUAACUGACGCUGAUGUGCGAAAGCGUGGGGAUCAAACAGGAUUAGAUACCCUGGUAGUCCACGCCGUAAACGAUGAGUGCUAAGUGUUAGGGGGUUUCCGCCCCUUAGUGCUGCAGCUAACGCAUUAAGCACUCCGCCUGGGGAGUACGACCGCAAGGUUGAAACUCAAAGGAAUUGACGGGGACCCGCACAAGCGGUGGAGCAUGUGGUUUAAUUCGAAGCAACGCGAAGAACCUUACCAAAUCUUGACAUCCUUUGACAACUCUAGAGAUAGAGCUUUCCCCUUCGGGGGACAAAGUGACAGGUGGUGCAUGGUUGUCGUCAGCUCGUGUCGUGAGAUGUUGGGUUAAGUCCCGCAACGAGCGCAACCCUUAAGCUUAGUUGCCAUCAUUAAGUUGGGCACUCUAAGUUGACUGCCGGUGACAAACCGGAGGAAGGUGGGGAUGACGUCAAAUCAUCAUGCCCCUUAUGAUUUGGGCUACACACGUGCUACAAUGGACAAUACAAAGGGCAGCGAAACCGCGAGGUCAAGCAAAUCCCAUAAAGUUGUUCUCAGUUCGGAUUGUAGUCUGCAACUCGACUACAUGAAGCUGGAAUCGCUAGUAAUCGUAGAUCAGCAUGCUACGGUGAAUACGUUCCCGGGUCU